UGGGUAACCCACCUCGAUGAUUGGGACAACCCGGGGAAACUCGGGCUAAUACCAAAUGUGCUCGUAGACCAUGAGGUCCAUGAGUAAAGAUAGCUUCGGCCUUCGCAUCGAGACGGGCCCGCGGCCCAUUAGCUUGUUGGUGAGGUAACGGCUCACCAAGGCGACGAUGGGUAGCUGGUCUGAGAGGACGAUCAGCCACACUGGGACUGAGACACGGCCCAGACUCCUAGGGAGG
rnacentral:rRNA from 1 species